AAAUAAAUUAAAAUGAACUUCUAAUUCAUUAUAUAUGAUUAUUAAUAAAAUCAUUUAUUUU
rnacentral:tRNA from 1 species